rnacentral:rRNA from 1 species
GAUGAACGCUAGCUACAGGCUUAACACAUGCAAGUCGAGGGGCAGCAUGGGAGAAGCUUGCUUCUUCUGAUGGCGACCGGCGCACGGGUGCGUAACGCGUAUCAAACCUGCCUCAUACUCGGGGAUAGCCUUGCGAAAGUAAGAUUAAUACCCGAUGUUGUUAUGUUACCGCAUGGUGAUAUAACCAAAGAUUUAUCGGUAUGAGAUGGUGAUGCGUCCGAUUAGGUAGUAGGCGGGGUAACGGCCCACCUAGCCAUCGAUCGGUAGGGGUUCUGAGAGGAAGGUCCCCCACACUGGAACUGAGACACGGUCCAGACUCCUACGGGAGGCAGCAGUGAGGAAUAUUGGUCAAUGGACGGAAGUCUGAACCAGCCAAGUAGCGUGCAGGAUGACGGCCCUCUGGGUUGUAAACUGCUUUUAUAAGUGAGGAUUAUGACAGUAACUUAUGAAUAAGGAUCGGCUAACUACGUGCCAGCAGCCGCGGUCAUACGUAGGAUCCGAGCGUUAUCCGGAGUGACUGGGCGUAAAGAGUUGCGUAGGUGGUUUAAUAAGCGAAUAGUGAAAUCUGGUGGCUCAACCAUUCAGACUAUUAUUCGAACUGUUGAACUCGAGAGCAGAAGAGGUAGCUGGAAUUUCUAGUGUAGGAGUGAAAUCCGUAGAUAUUAGAAGGAACACCGAUGGCGUAGGCAGGCUACUGGGCUGUUUCUGACACUGAGGCACGAAAGCGUGGGGAGCGAACCGGAUUAGAUACCCGGGUAGUCCACGCCGUAAACGAUGGAUACUAGCUGUUUGGGGUAUCGACCCCCUGAGUAGCGAAGCUAACGCGUUAAGUAUCCCGCCUGUGGAGUACGAUCGCAAGAUUAAAACAUAAAGGAAUUGACGGGGACCCGCACAAGCGGUGGAUCAUGUUCUUUAAUUCGAUGAUAACCGAUAAACCUUACCAGGUCUUGACAUCCUUGGAAUCUUUCAGAAAUGAGAGAGUGCUUUUUAAGAGCCAAGUGACAGGUGAUGCAUGGCCGUCGUCAGCUCGUGUCGUGAGAUGUUUGGUUAAGUCCAUCAACGAGCGCAACCCUUGUGAAUAGUUGUAUUUUUCUAUUCAGACUGCCCCGGCAACGGGGAGGAAGGAGGGGAUGACGUCAGGUCAGUAUUUCCCUUACGUCCUGGGCUAGAAACGUGAUACAAUGGCUAGUACAAUGCGCAGCGAAGCCGCGAGGUGAAGCAAAUCGCAUCAAAGCUAGUCCCAGUUCGGAUUGUAGGCUGAAACUCGCCUGCAUGAAGUCGGAAUCGCUAGUAAUCGCAGAUCAGCAUGCUGCGGUGAAUACGUUCCCGGGUCU